UACGGAGGAUGCAAGCGUUAUCCGGAAUGAUUGGGCGUAAAGCGUCCGCAGGUGGCUAUGUAAGUCUGCUGUUAAAGAGUGAGGCUCAACCUCAUAAGAGCAGUGGAAACUACAUGGCUAGAGUGCGUUCGGGGCAGAGGGAAUUCCUGGUGUAGCGGUGAAAUGCGUAGAUAUCAGGAAGAACACCGGUGGCGAAAAGCGCUCUGCUAGGCCGCAACUGACACUGAGGCACGAAAAGCGUGGGGGGAGCAAAACAGG
rnacentral:rRNA from 1 species